GACGAACGCUGGCGGCGUGCUUAACACAUGCAAGUCGAACGAAGAGCGAUGGAAGCUUGCUUCUAUCAAUCUUAGUGGCGAACGGGUGAGUAACGCGUAAUCAACCUGCCCUUCAGAGGGGGACAACAGUUGGAAACGACUGCUAAUACCGCAUACGAUCUAAUCUCGGCAUCGAGGAUAGAUGAAAGGUGGCCUCUACAUGUAAGCUAUCACUGAAGGAGGGGAUUGCGUCUGAUUAGCUAGUUGGAGGGGGAACGGCCCACCAAGGCGAUGAUCAGUAGCCGGUCUGAUAGGAUGAACGGCCACAUUGGGACUGGGACACGGCCCAGACUCCUACGGGAGGCAGCAGUGGGGAAUCUUCCGCAAUGGACGAAAGUCUGACGGAGCAACGCCGCGUGAGUGAUGACGGCCUUCGGGUUGUAAAGCUCUGUUAAUCGGGACGAAAGGCCUUCUUGCGAAUAGUGAGAAGGAUUGACGGUACCGGAAUAGAAAGCCACGGCUAACUACGUG
rnacentral:rRNA from 1 species